ensembl:lncRNA
AAAAAUAGAAUCUAGAAACAUCUGAUAGAUAAUACAAAGGUUUCUUUUAAGUUUUGUUUAAUUCGUAUUUAAUUAUAUGCAAUUUCUCAUAGUUAAAAAGAAGGUGUUUGCAGAAGGCAAUGCAGAAAUGUACUAUUUCCGUGUGCUUACCACUUCCUGUAAAAGUCUUCUGCAGGUUCAACAUUCAUGUGCAUCUUCACACACACAGCCUAUCGGUCUACAGGGAAAUCUUCUUUCUCUGACCUUUCUACACGCACAAAAAUUGCGUGCAAUGAUUAAUCAACGUUUCUGGGUUUUUCAUAGUUUGAUGUCACUGGAAGGAUCAGUGGUCAGCACGGUGUAGGUGAGACUCGUGCAGGUGUCAGAUUUCAUGUGGAACGUCAGCCAAUGAGACAUUCACAUCACGGCCCUGUCAAAUGCACACCGGGGUUAAGACAGCCAGGAAGUUCCUAUUCUGCCAGGAAGGUUGACAAAAGAGCUCAUGUAAGAAUAGAGACAGUCAUAAGCGCAUGUGAACGAUACCUCCAGCAGAGGACUACAAUUUGAAUAAGAAGAUGCUGCGUUUACUCUUUCUGUUUUUGAUUCUUCGAGGUGCAGCUGCAGCUUCAGAAGACACAGAAGGAAAUUAUUCAGGAGAUGAUAACACUGACGAUGAGGGCGGUGACGAUGUAGAUCCUGGAACAAAUAAAUCCACAGGAGAUGAUGAAGCUAAUGAAGGUGGAACGUUGGUAAUCAUCUUAGCUGCCGUUAGCGUCAUAGUUCUGGCCAUUGGAGGUAUUGUAGCUAUUGUCCUCUUCAGACGCUACUUGCAAAACAGAGAACAGGGGGUCUACUCUGUGCCAGCAGAGCAAGGACAGAAAGCUGCUGUGUAACCAUGAGGGCCUUUUCAUUUCCUCUCUCCACUGGAUCCUUUCAGGGACGUGCCACAAGCAUGUGAUUUCUCAUCUGAACGUAUCUAUUUCUAUUGCGGAUUCUAUAACAUCAGUAGACGAGAAUGUGUUGCUAUCACAAAUUUCCUAUGAACCGUUUUUAAAUGCACAAUGUAUACUGUUCAUGCAUGCAUGCAUGCCAUAUGUUGCACUCACAGAGAAAGUCCUUGGACUGUGUAGUACAGCUCACUUGAAACUUUUCCUCUCUGCCUGCAAUUAUUUUUCAUCUAAAUCAAGUUCAGACCAUUUUUAAACUCUGCUUAAAGUGUAAUUUUUUUUUCCAUCUUUAGAAAGUCUCCUUAAAAGUAAGCCAUUCAUAGUCAUCAAAAAUAUAAACAAAUGGCAUGAGUUUGGGGCGGGACUAUCUAAUUAACUAGCCAAUGGCAGACAGUGCCACAGAAAUCAUGAACUGCAGCUUUAGGCAAACAUCCUCCUUAUUUUUGCUCCCGGUCCUCAAAUGUUAGCUGUCUCCAGUGCAUUUAAAGUGACAAAAUCAAGGCGGUUAAAAGAUAAAGCUGUUCUCUGGCUCUCUGAUUAUUUGACAAAAGAGAGAAAGACGCAGAGAGAGAAAAACGAGUGGAAAAGUGGCUCUGAACACCCACUUGUCAAAUGGUGAAUUAAUCAACCGCUUUAAAUAAUGAUGUUGCUUUCUUUUUCCUUUCUUUCGCCAUGGCUGACUCCUCUAAAGCACAGCAGAUUGCAAAUAGCUCUGGGAUGCUGGGGAGCAGACUAAUGUUUCAUAGGCUAUAUACUCCUGGCUUUAAUAGGAAGACAAUCAGAUGGGCGGAUGCAAUAAAGAUACAACACCUAGCUACAAUGAGGUCCAAAAGUCCAUUACUCACUUUAAAAACAGAUUUUUGAAAAGUUGUCAAUAAAGAUUAUUUGAGAUUCUUCUUCUUCAAAUUUUUACAUUUGAUUCAAAAGGGCUUUUAAUGUAUAAAAUUAGUCCUGCAGUUUAUCUUGUUUCACACUGCUCAUAGUCAUGAAAUGGCUUGAACGCAGCUUUAUUUACAGAUUCGCAAUAGCCUACAUUGUCACUGAUUGGAUGAACACAGCAUGCAAUGUUUCCAGCUUUGCGCACCCUCAUAUUGCAGAUGUAGGCUACUAAAGUAUUUUUUCCAUUGGACUACAAAGGUAAAAAUAAAACAGUCUCCAAUACAUGUGUUUCGAGUCACCCUCAGACAUCUUUUUCCACUCAAUGAAACAACGCGGUGUUUCCGUGACGGUUUGAAGCAAGUUAUGAGGCACGCGAUUGGGUGUCUAUUUCUGGCACCGCAAAAGCGGUGUCAAACCGGCUUCUAAAUUACAAGUGUAAAAUCUACUUUAACCUGGGGUUAAAAGCGGAGUCUGUAAGGACAGUAAAGUGGGGUAACGCGAGGUGUGGAAAGCCCAAAUGUGUCACUUGCGGUUAUCAAUGUACUAGCAGUUUCUGAGAGAAAAUCAGUAUAAUGAAAUAAGUGGAUUUUUUUUUUCUUUCUAUUUUUUAAUUGUAUAGCCUAUGUUCAGAUUUUGAAUCCCAGAUCUUUAGUGUGGACUCAGACUUUUGGACCCCAGUGUAUCCACAGCAUCAUCGAUUGAAACUAAGACACUAUAGUGAGCUACUUACUUUUAUCAUCCUCUUUCUCUCUCAUCUUUUUUCUUCCAUUUUUUAGAUUAAAAUGGAAAUCAAUCAAAGCCCUUUUAGCCUUGAGACUGAGAGCUUCUCAGCUUUUUACUCUGAAUUUACACAAAGACGACAGGCUAGCAAACACUUUUAACACUGCUGAGGCAAAGUUUUUCUGUGAAUUCUUGCUAUCUUGUUAAAGGGACAGUUCACCCAAAAAUGAACAUUUUGUCAUCAUUUACUGACCCUAAUGUUAUUCCAGAUUUAUAUGACUUACUUUAUUCUUUUGAACACAAAACAAGAUAUUAGGAAGAACAUUUGGCUUUUAUUUUAUGGACGAAAACAUUGUUAUACAGAAGAAAGUAAGUCAAACAGACAUGGAAUGACAUUAGAAUAAAUAAAUAAUGACAAAACUUGAAUUUUUAUGUAGCUAAUAACUGUCUGUCCACCCAGCCUGUGUAUGAAUAGUACGUACAACAUAGGAGGGCUGCUAACCCAGAUCUCUUUUUAAAAAUGUUUCCAUUUCCUUUCUAGCUGAAUUUUCUGUUUCUUGAUUACCUGCUUUUCUUGAGCUUGCCUGUUUUCUAUUUAAAUCUAAAUGAAAUCCAAUCUUGCGCGCAUCAGACAGCUUGAGCUUGUUACUUUGAUGCGUGUGGGUGUGUAUAAAGGCAUUAGUGUGUAAUAUUAAUCAAGAUUUGCAAUAAAGCUAUUCUGGUAAAUCAUUCGCUAAAAGUGUCCUUAGACACUUCACACCAUUUCAGAUAACUGGAAUUGGAAAAACAGAAAGAAAAAACAAAAAAACACUUCAGCUCCUUUAAGUCAUCCUGAAAGCCAGUUUCACAUCAUUUUGACAUUUUCCUCCCACUUUUUAAUAGAGAUUAUUAUUAUUAUUUUUAAUAUAAACCGUUGGGUUUUAUUAACUCCAACAACUUUCUCUUGGGCUUUUUGGGCAGGUUGCUUUAUGCCAUGUGAAGGGACUUUAUACUGUAAAAAAAUAUAUAUAUAUAUAUAUAUAUAUAUAUAUAUAUAUAUAUAUAUAUAUAUAUAUAUAUAUAUAUAUAUAUAUAUAUAUAUAUAUAUAUAUAUAUAUAUAUAUAUAUAUAUAUAUAUAUAUAUAUAUAUAUAUAUAUAUAUAU